CCUACGGGAGGCAGCAGUGAGGAAUAUUGGUCAAUGGCCGGAAGGCUGAACCAGCCAUGCCGCGUGAAGGUCAGUGCCCUAUGGGCGUUAAACUUCUUUUGUGCGGGAGCAAUAAUGGUCACGUGUGGCCAGACGAGAGUACCGUACGAAUAAGCAUCGGCUAACUCCGUGCCAGCAGGCGCGGUAAUACGGGGGAUGCAAGCGUUAUCCGGAUUUAUUGGGUGUAAAGGGUGCGUAGGCUGUGAGGUAAGUCAGCGGUGAAAGUCCCCCGCUCAACGGGGUGAAGUGCCAUUGAUACUGCCUUGCUGGAAUGCGGAUGCCGUGGGAAGAAUGUGUGGUGUAGCGGUGAAAUGCAUAGAUAUCACACAGAACACCGAUUGCGAAGGCAUCUCACGAAUCCGCGAUUGACGCUGAUGCACGAAAGCGUGGGUAUCAAACAGGAUUAGAUACCCGGGUAGUC
rnacentral:rRNA from 1 species